GAUGAACGCUGGCGGCGUGCCUAAUACAUGCAAGUCGAGCGAACGGACGCGAAGCUUGCUUCUCUGACGUUAGCGGAGGACGGGAGAGUCACACGUGUAUCCCCUCCUUAUAUGUCUGGGAUCUCUUCGGGAAAGCGGCGCUAAUCCCGGAUAAUCUUUUGCUCCGCAUGGUUCAAUAGUAAAAGUCGGUGUUGCUGUCACUUCUAGCUGCUUCCGCGCUGCUUUAGCUGGUUGGUACGGUCACGGCUUACCACGGCAACGAUGCAUAGCCGACGUGUCAGAGGGGUCGGCGACACGGGAACUGGGACACGGUCCAGACUCCUGAGGGAGGCAGCAGUAGGGAAUGGGCCGCAAUGGGCGAAAGCCUGACGGAGCAACGCCGCGUGAGUGAUGAAGGUGUUCGGAUCGGAAAACUCUGUUAUGAGUGAAGAACAGAUGUGGAAGGAACUGUGCACAGCGUGACGGUAACUAAUCAGAAAGCAACGGCUAACUACGUG
rnacentral:rRNA from 1 species